GCGGAAGGGGGGCAGCCACCGCAGAGCCGUACCGCGAGAAGGCCUUGGGGCAAUGGGCGCAGGCGUAGGGCCGGUGCACGGCGCCCUGGUGGCCGCGGAGGUGGUGGCCCAUGCGGUCCUUCCGCUUGAAGCGCUGCUGGCACACCGGGCACUGGAACGGCCGCUCGUCCGAAUGGGCCAAACGGUGGCGCCGGAGGUGAUAAACGUCGCGGAAGGCUUUGCCGCACGCCUCGCACGCGUGGCUCUUCCGUUUGCGGGCGCUUCCGGCGCCGCUUCCGGUCGUGCCGUCCGACAGCGCCCCCACGAGGAUGGGAGGGGCGGCCGCGGCGGAGCCGUCCGGGAGCAACGAGACGGAGGAAGGGGCGGCGUUCGGGCCUUGCGACAGCGCCCCCGCGAGGCCGGGAGGUCUGGCGCCGUGCGUGGCUUGGUGGCGCCGCAGGUUGUAACCGUUCUUGAACUCUUUGGCGCACUGAGCGCACACGUAGGGCCCUUUGCUUUUGGACUUCCGGGUCGGAGGGGUCGCUUCCGGCGCUUGAGAGAGGGGGACUUCCGGUGCGGGCACGGGGGCUUCCGGUGGGGGGGGGGCGGGUUUUAGAGCGCCCGGGUCCACCGUGGAGGCGGCGGCGGUGGCGGGGGAGGGGUCGGGAAGCAGCGCGGGGAGCAGCUCCGACGGGGGGAGGGCGUCCGGGGGCGGGGCCACCGCGGGGGGCGGGGCCGGCUGGAAGAUGAAGCUGCUCCAUCCACCCGCGUCCAUGGCGGCCGCCGGGCCGGGAUGGGCGGGGCUCCGCGCCCCACGCCGCGCUCCGAUUGGCUCAGGCCCCGCCCCGGCCGCGCUCCGAUUGGCCGCGCCGCUCGCCCGUCACCGCCCCCCCCCCCUCCCCUCCCCGUUCCCUUCCUCCUCCCGCGCCGCUCCUCCGCCGCCGCCGCCGCCGCGCGCAAAAUGG
rnacentral:lncRNA from 1 species